AGUGAACGCUGGCGGUAGGCCUAACACAUGCAAGUCGAACGGCAGCACAGUAAGAGCUUGCUCUUACGGGUGGCGAGUGGCGGACGGGUGAGGAAUACAUCGGAAUCUACUUUUUCGUGGGGGAUAACGUAGGGAAACUUACGCUAAUACCGCAUACGAACUACGGGUGAAAGCAUGGGAUCUUCGGACCUUGCGCGAUUGAAUGAGCCGAUGUCGGAUUAGCUAGUUGGCGGGGUAAAGGCCCACCAAGGCGACGAUCCGUAGCUGGUCUGAGAGGAUGAUCAGCCACACUGGAACUGAGACACGGUCCAGACUCCUACGGGAGGUAGCAGUGGGGAAUAUUGGACAAUGGGCGCAAGCCUGAUCCAGCCAUACCGCGUGGGUGAAGAAGGCCUUCGGGUUGUAAAGCCCUUUUGUUGGGAAAGAAAAGCAGCAGGUUAAUACCCCGCUGUUCUGACGGUACCAAAAGAAUAAGCACCGGCUAACUUCGUG
rnacentral:rRNA from 1 species